rnacentral:rRNA from 1 species
UACGUAGGGGGGCGAGCGUUGUCCGAAGUACUGGGCGUAAAGCGUGCGCAGGCGGUUUUGUAAGUCUGUCGUGAAAGCCCCGGGCUCAACCUGGGAAUGGCGAUGGAGACUGCAAGGCUAGAGUGUGUCAGAGGGGGGGUAGAAUUCCACGUGUAGCAGUGAAAUGCGUAGAGAUGUGGAGGAACACCGAUGGCGAAGGCAGCCUUCUGGGCUAAUAUUGACGCUCAGGCACGAAAAGCGUGGGGAGCAAACAGGGAUUAAGAAAACCCUA